UCUGUACCUCAUAUUACCAAUGCACCUUUCAGCAGCAAGACAUUAUGAUCUGUACCUCCAACACAUAUGGUUUGUAUUGCUGUGCUUUGAAAAAUGUUUGAAGGACUCCAUUUACAUCUGACUAGGUUAUGUUACAGGUCUCCACUAGGUUAUGUUACAGGUCUCCACUAGGUUAUGUUACAGGUCUCCACUAGGUUAUGUUACAGGUCUCCACUAGGUUAUGUUACAGGUCUCCACUAGGUUAUGUUACAGGUCUCCACUAGGUUAUGUUACAGGUCUCCACUAGGUUAUGUUACAGGUCUCCACUAGGUUAUGUUACAGGUCUCCACUAGGUUAUGUUACAGGUCUCCACUAGGUUAUGUUACAGGUCUCCACUAGGUUAUGUUACAGGUCUCCACUAGGUUAUGUUACAGGUCUCCACUAGGUUAUGUUACAGGUCUCCACUAGGUUAUGUUACAGGUCUCCACUAGGUUAUGUUACAGGUCUCCACUAGGUUAUGUUACAGGUCUCCACUAGGUUAUGUUACAGGUCUCCACUAGGUUAUGUUACAGGUCUCCACUAGGUUAUGUUACAGGUCUCCACUAGGUUAUGUUACAGGUCUCCACUAGGUUAUGUUACAGGUCUCCACUAGGUUAUGUUACAGGUCUCCACUAGGUUAUGUUACAGGUCUCCACUAGGUUAUGUUACAGGUCUCCACUAGGUUAUGUUACAGGUCC